UACGUAGGGGGCAAGCGUUGUCCGGAUUUACUGGGCGUAAAGAGCGCGCAGGCGGUCGUUCAAGUCGAGUGUGAAAGCCCCCGGCUCAACUGGGGAGGGUCACUUGAUACUGAUCGACUCGAAGGCAGGAGAGGGAAGCGGAAUUCCCGGUGUAGUGGUGAAAUGCGUAGAUAUCGGGAGGAACACCGGUGGCGAAGGCGGUUCUCUGGGCCUUACCUGACGCUGAGGAGCGAAAGCGUGGGGAGCGAACAGG
rnacentral:rRNA from 1 species